GGCGGACUGUCAUGGAUAGUGAACACUGAUUGGUCAAAUUUAAAAUUUGUUGUUGUAUGACAAAUCACGACUUCAACUGACAGAUACUUCAUGAAAAUAAUUUGCUUUUUGCACUGCAGUAUUGUGUACGUUUGCAAAAAACUUUGACAGCUUUCAAAGCAAUUUGCUCUAUAAAGAGUUUAAUAAAACAAUUAUGGUAUCAAAUGCCAAUUGAAAAGAUAUGGACUACUGUAUGGAGCCAAAUGAAGAGCGGCAAGGAAACGAAAAGAAAGCCGAACGUCUCGCGAAAAGGAGGGAGCCAGCGAAGACGACAACGUUUGCUCGAGGAGACUGCUGAGGAAAGAGAAGCUCGCCUGGGAAAGCGUGGAGAAGCAUGGGAAAAAAAGACUGCUGAAGCGAAAGGUAUUAAAGCAAAGGCUUGUCUUCACAACGCUAUGUACCAAUGAUACUGUAGCUAUACAAGUUUAAGUAUGAUAUUUGACCCUCUAUAUUCGACUAUUUCUUCACAAUUUUCCAAUAAAGAGUUUGUCAUUACACGCUCAAGUCAGUAUAACCAGACUGUAUUUUAUUUAUAUCAGUUAUCAAAUACCGUCGGUGGCAACUAAGGGUGAACAGUUGCAGAUAAAACAUUCUCUAUUUUCAUUAAAAAGCCUGUAAAAGUUUCCAGUAGGUCUCUAGCCCAACAAGUUCAGACAAAGUUUUGUUACUUAUUUUUAUUGCACACAUGGGAAACAACAAUUAAGUGUUGUUGUUCUUGACAAACAUUGAAGAUUCUAAUCACGCGAAUGUUUUUAUGAGCGACUGUUCAUCGUUAGUUGCAAACGACGGUACAACAUAUUAUGAACAUUUUUCCGACUGUGACCGAAUGUGCAACGAUAUAUUUUUCAAAGUUGUUAACAAUUCCUAAAAUUUGUUUAUAGUAAAACAGCCUGCUCAGCACUCACUACUCACGAUGAUUUCAUUUAGAAAUGCAGUUACCAGGAAAGGAACUGAUUCUAAAAUAUGUAAAUUUAAAAGCAUUGGCUAACAGAAUAAAGCGAUGUGAAGACAAGGUACAAACUUUUAUAGUUGCUAUUUGUUUAUAUAAAUCCUAUAAAUAAACCGAUUCAACAAUAAUUUUGCCUCGAAUUUGCAUAUUCUAUGCUGCAUGUUUAUAUUUUAUUUUUAUAGUAUAAAAAUAAAAUUG